ACGGGUGAGUAACACGUGAACAACCUACCCUUAAGUGGGGAAUAACACCGCGAAAGCGGUGCUAAUACCGCAUAAUAUCUUUGAGUCGCAUGACGAGAAGAUCAAAGUAGCGAUAUGCUUGAGGAGGGGUUCGCGGCUGAUUAGCUAGUAGGUGAGGUAACGGCCCACCUAGGCAACGAUCAGUAGCCGGCCUGAGAGGGCGAACGGCCACACUGGAACUGAGACACGGUCCAAACUCCUACGGGAGGCAGCAGUGGGGAAUUUUGCGCAAUGGGCGAAAGCCUGACGCAGCAACGCCGCGUGGAGGAUGAAGGUCUUCGGAUCGUAAACUCCUGUCGAUGGGGACGAAAGCCGAAAGGCGUGACUGUACCCGUUGAGGAAGCCACGGCUAACUCCGUGCCAGCAGCCGCGGUAAUACGGAGGUGGCAAGCGUUGUUCGGAAUUAUUGGGCGUAAAGGGCGCGUAGGCGGCUUUACAAGUCAGAUGUGAAAGCCCCGAGCUUAACUCGGGAAUUGCAUCUGAUACUGUAGAGCUUGAGUUCUGGAGGGGGUAGUGGAAUUCCCAGU
rnacentral:rRNA from 1 species